UCAUGGAAAAAUGUGAAACAAUAGUUUUUAAUAGUUUUUGGGAAAAGUCGCUUUUGAUAUUCUAAUCAGUUGGUGUGUGUCUGCCCAGAGCUUUCAAUUGUAUUUUUCAGAACGCAGUUCGUAAUCGAGAACCUUCUAAUACUUACAUUUCAAUUUGUAUUAAAAUUCAUAUGAAAUGGAAAGCCUAAACGAGUAUGAGCCUCCGAAACCAAGGGGCAGGUGGGCCCGGCUGAUGCAAAUGGUUGACAGCUCGAAGAGAAUACGAUACAGUUCGAUUAGAGAGGCACGCCGAGCUGUGCUGAAUUUCUUUAUCUAUAUAAUAUUUCUGGCACUGGCAUCAGUUGUGACACAGACAACCAACAAUAUUCCCAUGUACUAUUUAAACGAUGCUAUACACAGGCAGGUAAUAGGUCGUCGGGUGCCAAUGGAGCCUGGAUUGAUAAGCAAAUUUACGGAUAUUGACUCUUUGGAUAGGUAUUGGGACUUUGUUCUGUACACGUUUCUACCAUUGCUCGAUUCAGGCGACUUUAAGUCGAUUGAUAAAGAGUCCAUCUGGGAGUUCACCAAUGAGACAAAUCAGUUCGAUGGGAUCUAUGGUGACGUCUACAAUCGAGUCAUACUGCAUGGAAAUGUGCUGCUCGGACCCCCACGUUUUAGACAGAUUAUGGUAGAGAGUGGUCACUGUAGAAAGUGUGCCCCCUUCACCAAACACAUGGGCACCUGCUAUGCUUCCUACACGUGGUCCAAUGAGCGCCGCACGGACUACCGCGGCACCAAGUGGGCCAGCAUGUGGAAGGACGGUGCAUUGCCGAUCGUUGGCGAGAUUGAAGUCUAUUUGGGUGCCGGCUAUAUAAAGAGCCUCAGCUAUGACAAUGAAUUGAACUUUCGUCUGGUUGAACACUUACGCGACACCAAAUGGAUCGGUCGCUCCACACGGAUUGUCCUAAUCGAGCUCAGUUUGUUUCACGUUAACACUCGCCUCCUCGAGAGCGUCAAGUUAACGGUAGAGCGUCCAGCCACCGGUGGACUUGUACCCAGCUACUCUUUGCGAUCACUGCGACAGGAAACUUUCUUUACCGAUUCCAACUGGGCUAUACAAAUUGUAGUCUGUAGCUACUAUCUGAUGGUCGUGCUGUUUACCUUUAGAGAGAUUCGACUUAUAAAGAAAACUGGAUUUUGUAAAUAUAUCCGCAAUACGAUCAAUUUAGCGGACUUUACAUGCUAUUUGUGUUCAUACAUAAUGCUGUUGAUCCAAGUGAUGCGUUUCUUCUAUUUUAACAAAAUCAUGAAUAUUGUAAAGACAUCCGAUAAAUAUAUUAAUCUUGACUGGGCUUCUGUACUUGCCGUCAUAUACAACAAUAUAGCUGCACUCACUAUUUUUUUGGCCUGGAUUCGUAUAUUGAGCUUUUUGGUCUUUAAUCGGACAUUGGUUAUAUUUGUGAAUGUCGUCCGUGAGAGCACCAGCGAAAUGGUUGGCUUUCUUUUAAUGUUCAUUGCCGUGUGCAUGGCGUACGCCGAGUGUGGCAUGACAUUUUUUGGGCACAUCGAUAAACAGUUUUACAAUCUAUCAUCUGCAUUGCUGACCAUGGUGAGAUGGGUGGUGGGCGAGUUCAGGUUCAAUAGCUUCAAGGUUAAAGAGAUGAAAACCGGGAUUUAUUUCAUUUCAUUCGUAAUAAUUGUGUAUGCCUUGCUGCUGUUUGCCUUCCUGGCCAUCAUCAACUGCACAUACGACGAGAUUCAAGCCUCUAUGAAGACACGCGCCUCCAAAUUGGGUCUCAUCAUUCGUUUGUUCUUCCGGAGUCUGUACGAUAUGAUCUACUACAUCUUCUGUGGCAAGCGCAAGAAACGCGCAAAGCACGACAAGGACAUGCGAAGUGAACUGGCCACCGAUCAGCGCAUCGAUCCCCAAGAGGCAGCCGAGCGGGCUGCCAUGCGCCGGCAGUUGCUCCAAAAUCCGGUCACCCUGACACAGACCGAAUACCUGCCCAGACGCAUGGAAUGUGCUGCAAAGCGCGUUAAAGCUUUGGAAGAGGUAACUGGCUCAGUGCUGAAGCGCCUCAUUGGCUAUUAUAACACAUUGCUCCGCGAACAAGGCGAAGAGCAAACAUAGAUAUUUCUGACCUAAGAGGAGCUUAGCUAAUCAACAAUGAGAGCUCCCAAUCUCUUUUUAGGAAGCCCAAAUUUUAUAUGAGUACUUGUUCAAAGGCGCUGCAUAAGAAAUCUAUCGAUAAGCCCUUAGACCGAUUAGGAAAAGUUCAGAUUCACUGGAGGAAUUUCAUUUAAGAAUAGCGACACCCUAUCACAAGCGUCUAACAACGAAAUUAACUUUUUAUAUAAGCGGAAGUUUUUAUAAUUUCAAUUUGGUAACCUGCAAUCCCUCCACUCUGUCCCGCCUUUGUGCGCUGCACUAGAGAGCUCAUUAUGCGCUUUGUAAUCCCUGUUUAUGUGCCAUAAUGCUUAUAAGUAGAAAUAAAAUAAUAAAAGGGCAUGGUAAAAGGGCGAAACGGGAAAAGGAAAUGCCGCACAAACUGAAAUAUGAAAGCGCAAAUAAUGUUUAAACAAUUUGUUGUCCUUUCGUCUGAUUUAAUGACCAGUCGUCAAGUGGAGCGAACUUCAUCCCCCUACCCCUCCUUCAACCCACUGCCUAUGUUUCGCCCAGUGCCGAUUGGACGCUCGUUUCCAUCUGGACAGUUCUGACUUUGCUUGUCGUUAUAAUUUGCAAAACUGUGCACAAAAGAGGAACAAAAGCUAGCAAAAGUGUACGAGUGAAGAUUGGCCAACUAGAAUAUACCCUGAAUCCAGCUGCCGUUACAUAUAUUCGAACUUUAUGCUCAAAAAAUAAACACAUACGAACUGUCUGCUUUUCUGCCCCUA